CAGUCGCCGCGGUAAUACGAAGGGGGCUAGCGUUGCUCGGAAUCACUGGGCGUAAAGGGUGCGUAGGCGGGUCUUUAAGUCAGGGGUGAAAUCCUGGAGCUCAACUCCAGAACUGCCUUUGAUACUGAAGAUCUUGAGUUCGGGAGAGGUGAGUGGAACUGCGAGUGUAGAGGUGAAAUUCGUAGAUAUUCGCAAGAACACCAGUGGCGAAGGCGGCUCACUGGCCCGAUACUGACGCUGAGGCACGAAAGCGUGGGGAGCAAACAGGAUUAGAUACCCGCGUAGUCCCUGUCUCUUAUAC
rnacentral:rRNA from 1 species